rnacentral:rRNA from 1 species
GGGCGUAAGGGCUCGCAGGCGGUUUCUUAAGUCUGAUGUGAAAGCCCCCGGCUCAACCGGGGAGGGUCAUUGGAAACUGGGAAACUUGAGUGCAGAAGAGGAGAGUGGAAUUCCACGUGUAGCGGUGAAAUGCGUAGAGAUGUGGAGGAACACCAGUGGCGAAGGCGACUCUCUGGUCUGUAACUGACGCUGAGGAGCGAAAGCGUGGGGAGCGAACAGGAUUAGAUACCCUGGUAGUCCACGCCGUAAACGAUGAGUGCUAAGUGUUAGGGGGUUUCCGCCCCUUAGUGCUGCAGCUAACGCAUUAAGCACUCCGCCUGGGGAGUACGGUCGCGAGACUGAAACUCAAAGGAAUUGACGGGGGCCCGCACAAGCGGUGGAUCAUGUGGUUUAAUUCAAAGCAACGCGAAGAACCUUACCAGGUCUUGACAUCCUCUGACAACCCUAGAGAUAGGGCUUUCCCUUCGGGGACAGAGUGACAGGUGGUGCAUGGUUGUCGUCAACUCGUGUCGUGAGAUGUUGGGU